AUUGAACGCUGGCGGCAGGCCUAACACAUGCAAGUCGAGCGGAUGAAGGGAGCUUGCUCCUGGAUUCAGCGGCGGACGGGUGAGUAAUGCCUAGGAAUCUGCCUGGUAGUGGGGGAUAACGUCCGGAAACGGGCGCUAAUACCGCAUACGUCCUGAGGGAGAAAGUGGGGGAUCUUCGGACCUCACGCUAUCAGAUGAGCCUAGGUCGGAUUAGCUAGUUGGUGGGGUAAAGGCCUACCAAGGCGACGAUCCGUAACUGGUCUGAGAGGAUGAUCAGUCACACUGGAACUGAAACACGGUCCAGACUCCUACGGGAGGCAGCAGUGGGGAAUAUUGGACAAUGGGCGAAAGCCUGAUCCAGCCAUGCCGCGUGUGUGAAGAAGGUCUUCGGAUUGUAAAGCACUUUAAGUUGGGAGGAAGGGCAGUAAGUUAAUACCUUGCUGUUUUGACGUUACCAACAGAAUAAGCACCGACUAACUUCGUG
rnacentral:rRNA from 1 species